UACGUAGGCAGCGAGCGUUGUUCGGAGUUACUGGGCGUAAAGGGUGUGUAGGCGGUUGUUUUAAGUUUGGUGUGAAAUCUCCCGGCUCAACUGGGAGGGUGCGCCGAAUACUGAAUGACUUCGAGUGCGGGAGAGGAGAGUGGAAUUCCUGGUGUAGCGGUGAAAUGCGCAGAUAUCAGGAAGAACACCCGUGGCGAAGGCGGCUCUCUGGGACGGUACUGACGCUGAGACGCGAAAAGCGUGGGGAGCGAACAGG
rnacentral:rRNA from 1 species